rnacentral:rRNA from 1 species
GAUGAACGCUGGCGGCGUGCCUAAUACAUGCAAGUCGAGCGAACGGACGAGAAGCUUGCUUUUCUGAUGUUAGCGGCGGACGGGUGAGUAACACGUGGAUAACCUACCUAUAAGACUGGGAUAACUUCGGGAAACCGGAGCUAAUACCGGAUAAUAUUUUGAACCGCAUGGUUCAAAAGUGAAAGACGGUCUUGCUGUCACUUAUAGAUGGAUCCGCGCUGCAUUAGCUAGUUGGUAAGGUAACGGCUUACCAAGGCAACGAUGCAUAGCCGACCUGAGAGGGUGAUCGGCCACACUGGAACUGAGACACGGUCCAGACUCCUAUGGGAGGCAGCAGUAGGGAAUCUUCCGCAAUGGGCGAAAGCCUGACGGAGCAACGCCGCGUGAGUGAUGAAGGUCUUCGGAUCGUAAAACUCUGUUAUUAGGGAAGAACAUAUGUGUAAGUAACUGUGCACAUCUUGACGGUACCUAAUCAGAAAGCCACGGCUAACUACGUG